rnacentral:rRNA from 1 species
GAUGAACGCUAGCGGCAGGCUUAACACAUGCAAGUCGAGGGGCAGCACGAUGUAGCAAUACAUUGGUGGCGACCGGCGCACGGGUGCGUAACACGUAUGGAAUCUGCCCUGUACUGGAGGAUAGCCCGGAGAAAUCCGGAUUAAUACUCCAUAAUCGUCGAGGUGGCAUCACCUUGACCUGAAAGCUCCGGCGGUACAGGAUGACCAUGCGCCCGAUUAGCUAGUUGGUGAGGUAACGGCUCACCAAGGCUACGAUCGGUAGGGGCCUGAGAGGGUUA